UUAACCCCACAAAUAGGCGAGGCCAAGCCAAGCCAAACUUCACUCAACCCAAGUAUUCAUCGACUCGGCCCCAAAAUAUUUAAAUUGAUUUUCAUCCACUGGUUGCCAAAGUGAAACCGCAACUGUCCCCAUAAAGCCAAACCCUAGAAUCCCAAAGUCAAAGCAAUUGUUAUAAAACGAAUCAAAAAGAAUGAUUACGUGUUAAUGCCGUUGGGGGUAUCCAAUAAAUUUCUGGACUCCUCUCUCUCUCUCUCUCUCUCUCCCCGUCAUUCCAGAUUUAUCUGAACUCCUGUCUCUCUACAUCAUUCGCCUCUCGCACCUCCACGUCUCCUGAAGCACAGAUGUUCUCUCCCUCUCUUCUCGUCCUCUCUUCCGUUUCUUUCAGAUUCAAGAGACGUUUCGUGUAUUUAACGCAGAGAUUCUUCGCGGAUCGUGACUCGAUCGUUUGCGCUGGUAAUUUGCUUUGAUCAUCUUGUUCGGUGUUAAGCACUUUGAUUUCGGCAUCAUUUUGUCCCCGUUUGUACCGUUUGGUUAUCAGGAAAACGUCGGAAAAAAAUAGAAAUUUUUUUUCUCGACAAACCGAGAAAACGUGGGUUUGUAAUUUGUACGGGUAAUUUUCUUUUCUUCCUCUUAUCUCAUGGCUUUAAUUAACGCGGAGAUUCUUCGCGGAUCGUGACUCGAUCGAUUGCGCUGGUUAUUUGCUCAUCUUGGUCGGUGUUGAACGCUUUUGAUUUCGGCAUCAAUUUGUCUCGGUUUGUACCGUUUGGUUCUUGAGAAAACGUCGGAAAGCAAUAGAAAAUUUUCUUUCCUCGAGAAACCGAGAAAACGUUGUUUUGUACGGCUGGUAAUUUUCUUUUCUUCUUCUCUUCUCACUCCCUCUCAACAAAUCAUCUUUUCGCCGCUUUCCCUGUUAAAGAAUUUGUUUAACAAAUAAGGUAUCUCUUAAUAUUUUUUUCUCCUUUUUUUUCAUUUUGAAGAUUUGUAGAUCAACGGUGGAGGGAAAGCGGAUCUUGAUCUGAGAACAUGCUGUUGAUCAGAUGAUUUUUGAACUCAUUAGAUUUUUCGCGUUAUGUUUUAUACCUUAUCACUUUUUUUUUUAUGACGUACCGCGGGUAAAUUUCUUUUCUUCCUCUUCUCUCAUCCAUUUAAUUAACGCGGAGAUUCUUUGCGGAUCGUGAGUCAUCGCUUGCGCUGGUUAUUUGCUCAUCUUGUUCGUUGUUAAACGCUUUUGAUUUCGGUAUCAAUUUGUCUCGGUUUGUACUGUUUGGUUCUCGAGAAAACGUCAGUUAUUUUUUUUUCUUCCUAUUCUCUCAUCCAUUUAAUUAACUUGAAGAUUCUUAGCGGAUCGUGACUUGAUCUCUUGGCUGGUUAUUUGCUCAUCUUGUUCGGUGUUAAACGCUUUUGAUUUCGGCAUCAAUUUAUCUCGGUUUGUACCGUUUGGUUCUCU
rnacentral:lncRNA from 1 species